rnacentral:pre_miRNA from 13 species
CCUGAAAGGCCUCAGAAAUCAAGGGUGGGUGAGGCCUAUGAUAUACAAGGAAGGCGACCCAUACUUGGUUUCCUAGGACUGGG